GUGCUCGCUUCAGCAGCACAUAUACUAAAAUUGGAACGAUACAGAGAAGAUGAGCAUGGCCCCUGCGCAAGGAUGACACACAAAUUCGUGAAGAGUUUCAUAUUUAA
rnacentral:snRNA from 1 species